CUCAGUGGGUUCUAGGUUGUGGAAUUUCUAGAAGCAUGUGGAGGCGGAACAAGUGGCGGGAGGGUGGCCGACUUGGUUUAGUGUGGUUUGAUUUGUUCUAAAAAAGUGAUUUUUUAACUACCUCAAAUUGGGGAUCUAGAUUCUAGAGUAAAGGCUGUAGAAUUAUGUACGAAUUCAAUUGAAGGUAGGAAGCAUGGCUGGUCAAUUUGUCAAGCUAAGAUAAGAUCCUUUUAAGGAGAAAAAUGGUGUGAGAUUACCAAGUUGUAGUGUGGAUAUAUAAUGUAAAUGAUGAUGAGUUUAAUUUGAAAUCAAGAACACCUGACCCAUAAAGAAUUUAUUUUAUUCAUUUA